rnacentral:snRNA from 2 species
GUGCUCAUUUGGCAGCACAUUUACUAAAACUGGAAUGAUGCAAAGAUUAGCAUGGCCCCUGUGCAAGGAUGAUGUGCAAACUCAUGAAGCGUUCCAUAUUUUU